GCCUGCCCAGUGACUCUGUUCAACGGCCGCGGUAUCCUAACCGUGCGAAGGUAGCGUAAUCACUUGUUCUUUAAAUGAGGACUAGUAUGAAUGGCACCACGAAGGCUACACUGUCUCCUUUUUCUGAUCAGUGAAACUAAUUUCCCCGUGAAGAAGCGGGGAUAGACCUAUAAGACGAGAAGACCCUAUGGAGCUUUAAACUAAAUAACACUCGCUUUUAUACAACUUUACUUCAGAGUAUUCAACAUUUAUUUUAGCCCCCUGAUUAUUAGUUUUAGGUUGGGGUGACCGCGGAGUAAAAAAUAACCUCCACAUUGAAGGGGGUAGUACCCCUGAGCUAUGAGCUACAACUCUAAGCACCAAUAAAUUGACAUUAAUUGACCCAAUAAAUUGAUCAACGAACCAAGUUACCCUAGGGAUAACAGCGCCAUCCGCUUUAAGAGCUCCUAUCGACAAGCGGGUUUACGACCUCGAUGUUGGAUCAGGGUAUCCCAGUGGUGCAGCCGCUACUAAAGGUUCGUUUGUUCAACGAUUAAAACCCUA
rnacentral:rRNA from 1 species